rnacentral:rRNA from 1 species
UACAGAGGGUGCGAGCGUUGUCCGGAAUUACUGGGCGUAAAGGGCGCGUAGGCGGCCCGAUAAGUCGGGGGUGAAAGUCAGCGGCUCAACCGCUGGACUGCCUUCGAGACUGUUAGGCUUGAGCAUGGUAGAGGCUGGCGGAAUUCCCGGUGUAGCGGUGAAAUGCGUAGAUAUACGGAGGAACACCAGGGGCGAAGGCGGAUCGCUGGGCCAACACUGACGCUGAGACGCGAAAGCUAGGGGAGCAAACGGG